UUGAAUUAAGUAUUAAUGUAUAUUUUAUUUACAAUAAAAAGGUCUAAUAAUUAGAAUUCAAA
rnacentral:tRNA from 1 species